AACGAACGCUGGCGGCAUGCCUAACACAUGCAAGUCGAACGAGACCUUCGGGUCUAGUGGCGCACGGGUGCGUAACGCGUGGGAAUCUGCCCCUUGGUUCGGAAUAACAGUUAGAAAUGACUGCUAAUACCGGAUAACGACGAAAGUCCAAAGAUUUAUAGCCGAGGGAUGAGCCCGCGUAAGAUUAGCUUGUUGGUGAGGUAACGGCUCACCAAGGCGACGAUCUUUAGCUGGUCUGAGAGGAUGAUCAGCCACACUGGGACUGAGACACGGCCCAGACUCCUACGGGAGGCAGCAGUGGGGAAUAUUGGACAAUGGGCGAAAGCCUGAUCCAGCAAUGCCGCGUGAGUGAUGAAGGCCUUAGGGUUGUAAAGCUCUUUUACCCGGGGUGAUAAUGACAGUACCGGGAGAAUAAGCCCCGGCUAACUCCGUGCCAGCCGCCGCGGUAA
rnacentral:rRNA from 1 species